UCGAUGAAGAACGCAGCCAGCUGCGAGACUUGGUGUGAAUUGCAGGACACAUUGAGCACUUACUUUUCGAACGCACAUUGCGGCCUCGGGUCCUACCCGGGGCCACGUCUGUCUGAGGGUCGGAUUAUGCUUGCAGAAGGGAGUUUCUUCCUGAUUGGUUGUGCCGGAUGCGUCCGCCGACCUAAAUUGUGUGAGUUUUCGACCCCGGCCGAGAGGCAUGCCACGAGAGGAUGUCCGAGAGCGGGAGUGGCGAAGUGCCUKCCUGCAAGCUUGGACCAGUGGUGGAAGCCUGUGCUGGGGAAUUCAGAUGUGGAGUGAAUCUCCUACUUAACUUUGUCGACCUCAGAUCAGGCGAGACGACCCGCUGAAUUUAAGCAUAUAACUAAGCGGAGGAAAAGAAACCAACCAGGAUUC
rnacentral:rRNA from 1 species